CAGCUCCCGCAGCUCGGCCUGCGUCGGGCCCGCGCCGCUCCCCGCACCGGGAGGACGGACGGACGGACGGAAAGGCAGACAGGACAGGACAGGACAGGACAGAACAGGCGCUCGGGGCAGGCACGGACCGUCGCGGACGGAGCACAUCGAGGAGCGGGAUCCGCCCGGCCGCGGGGCGCAGGGGAUGGGCGGGCAGCCCCCGCCCGCCGCAGUGGUAGUAUCCGGUGCUUUGCAGCUGUGAUAUACAUAGCUCUACCUAAAUCGGUGGGGUAUUCCCACAUUCAUAGUCCUGUGCUGCAUCAAGAUCACUGAGUUGUGCCGUGGCCCAGAGCACGAGGAGCUCAGUGCUCACUGCUCAGAGCCAGCAGCUCAGGCUCCUCGGGCUGCCGUGUGACCUCGUGGGACACCCAGGAGCUCCCCGUGGACUGAGGCACUGCUUGAACACCUGGGGAGCACCGUGUGCAGGAACAGACUGUGGGCCUGGGCCACUGCAGUGCACGGAAUCCUGAAUGCAAAGGCCAGCACCAUGAUACCCAGCUCUUGUACAGGGCUUUCUACUUACAGGCAUGCAAGAACCUAAAUGAAAAGACAUAAAUUAUUGACCAGAAAAUGGCCCAACGAAGCCCAAUCUUCCCAACCCUCGCCCAUUCUGAAAGCUUCUUUAAACU
rnacentral:lncRNA from 1 species